CUAGUGUAGCCGUUGCUAUUUCUCCUAUUUGGUCGCACGUCCACGGCGUUCGCAAAAGAAUCCGAUUUCCAUUUCCGUCAAAAUGUCGUCCCAUCAAAUCGCACCCCACACAGAGAAAAGCCAAAAUUUAAACCGGAGAAGCCAUCUGCAAACAAAAAUCCAUCGAACUUCUCGAGAAUAUUAACCUCCCGAAGGGCCUGCUUCUCUUAGACGACAUCGUUGAGGUGGGGUAAAAAUGAGGCUACGGGAUUCGUGUGGCUGAAGAAGCAGAAGAGCAACGUUCUCCGUUUUCAUGCAAUCGGGUGAGGUUUAUCUUAUGAUGAUUGAUGAAGAGCUCACAGCUUUUGUAGAUGACCGGCGGGUGAUGCCGUUGAUAGGUGUCAAGAACAAGGAGCUCCUUAUAUGGAUUUAGCAUUCAGCAUCCAAGUUCCGGGAAUAUUGUGUUCGGCACCCUGCCGGGAUACCCAGGUCGAUUCCAGUGUCAGCAUUUAAGGAAGAAGAGGAUAAGAAUUGAAAAUUGUAAGUGUUAUUUUGAUUUUCGAAAAAAAGAUGUAUUUUAUGGAAUAAUUUCGAUGAUUUCUCGCAGAAUUUAAUAAUAAGCAAUUGAUUAUUAAGAUUGGAUUUUGUGUCCCCAUUUUGAAUAUUUAGUAUUUGCUCAAGGUUUAAGCUAAAAUUUAAUGGCUGUAAUUACGCUCUUGCAUUCGACAAU
rnacentral:lncRNA from 1 species